rnacentral:rRNA from 1 species
AUUGAACGCUGGCGGCAUGCUUUACACAUGCAAGUCGAACGGUAACAGGGUGCUUGCACCGCUGACGAGUGGCGAACGGGUGAGUAAUGCGUCGGAACGUGCCGAGUAGUGGGGGAUAACGCAGCGAAAGUUGUGCUAAUACCGCAUACGUACUGAGGUAGAAAGUGGGGGACCUUCGGGCCUCACGCUAUUCGAGCGGCCGACGUCUGAUUAGCUAGUAGGUGAGGUAAAGGCUCACCUAGGCGACGAUCAGUAGCGGGUCUGAGAGGAUGAUCCGCCACACUGGGACUGAGACACGGCCCAGACUCCUACGGGAGGCAGCAGUGGGGAAUUUUGGACAAUGGGCGAAAGCCUGAUCCAGCCAUGCCGCGUGUCUGAAGAAGGCCUUCGGGUUGUAAAGGACUUUUGUCAGGGAGGAAAUCCCUAGUGCUAAUAACACUGGGGGAUGACAGUACCUGAAGAAUAAGCACCGGCUAACUACGUGCCAGCCGCCGCGGGAC